rnacentral:ncRNA from 1 species
AAAGUCCUGCUCCGGAAGGCAUAGCCAGUGCCACCGGAUAGCGAGUCUUGCGCCGUCCUGGGUAACUUGGAGGGUGAAGCGUAGACAGCGAAGCAUUCGAGCCGAAACCAAAGGGUGAACGUGAUACCCCCGAAAUGGAACUAAUUGUGGGAGCCGACAGGUUGGAGCACCUGGCAGGCAACAGGUUACCGGAGGCCAUACUGGCAAAUUGCCAAAGGAAACCAACCACCGGGGGCGCAGGCGU